AGCAGACACACCAAGCGAGGCAGCAAAGAGGGCAGCAAAAGCUGUCUUUAAUGAUGUAAUCCCUUUCUUUAAAGAUCAGAAAAAGCAGCAAUGAACAAAUCUGAAUCAAAACCUUUAAUGUGCCCUGAUUCUUAGGACGUGGCAUUAAACAUGUCCCACCUCCUUUAAACAACAUGGAAUCUUUAACCAUUGAGAUGAUGGUGUUCGUAUGUAACAGGUUGAACUUCUUGCGUGAGCUUUCUUCUAUUUUCUGACUCUUUUCUGAAGCGUGUUGCAACAGCUGCAGAGCAAAGUGCUUCCUGACUGAAUGAAAGUUCAAUCUUUUCUUAUUUUUAGUACAAAGUGCCUGAUAUGUUGUUUCUUAUGUGUAUCACAACUGUGACCACAAACCACAAAUAUAAUGUUGUUUCAUCAUCUUGCUUCAGUAAGAUCUUUAGAAAAUGUCAAACUAGUGUGGUCUGUUGGAUGUUGAAUCGUUGUUCUGUUUCCUGUUACAAAGUCAACCAGAACAUGUUUGUUUCUAUUUACAUCAUUUUGUGAGACAAUAAUUGUUUUUAUCUGUGGAUUAAAAUGUAUCAGCAAGACAAAUAAAACAAGAAAUGAAAUGAAGCCUGUGAAACAUUUUUUUACUUUGUAAAGCGACACUCCAACACACACACACACACACACACACACACACACACACACACACACACACACACACACACACACACACACACACACACACACACACACACACAUACAGGAAGUGAAGAUAAGACUUGUCUAAAUGGAGAGAAAAGAGACACAGGACGUUUUUUGUGUGAAAACUUUUCCUCUUCACUGAUUUCUCUUCUGAAAUCAGACUCAGUAACUUCAAGUUAAUAAUUUCAGUCAUUACGACGUGUUGAUUCAAACCACCAACCUUGUGGUUCCCAGCACACCCUGUCUACCCUGCGCCACGACGGCCCUUUACGACAUUGGCAUUGGCAUAUGGCAUUUCUGCAGUUGAAAAAUGUGUUAAACAUUAUUUCCUCCCCAGAAAUUCCACCUUGAAAAGAGAAGAAUGUCUGCGCAUGUAACUGUUGUUUCAAUAGAAACCUCAACAAUCAUAAAUAUAAAAAGAAAUAGUAACGUUUGAUCUCAAAGAAAAAGAGCUGUAGUUUGUUAACAUGGUUUUCACAGUCUGCCCUCCUUUACGGCUCAAUCAGGAGGGAACAUACCUGCAAACUUGUCGCUUUUGGGCGAAAUUCACAGUUUUGAAAUCAAAACAGUUCACCCAGGUGAAUUGUGUAGAUCAGAAGAGUUUUUAUUUGGGGGGUCAACUGGCCGACAAGGCGUUUCUGAGAUUGGGGUGAAACUAGGGGUGUAACGAUUCAUUCACUGAAUCGAUUAAUCGAUUUAUAUUCCUGCGACCCAACUGAAUCGAUCUGUGCUCCGCAAAUCGGCAUUCCGGACGACAUUUAUCGAUUACAAAUCGAUUGAAAUGGUACAUAAUCGAUUUGUAUCGAUACUUGGAAACUGCACAUUGGAUUUAAGUACAAAAACGGUGUCGAUGUGUGUUUGUUUGUUUGUUUGUUUUUUAGCACUUUAGACACGUUAAACGUUACUGGAUUCAGUCUGCCUGUCUGUGACGUCAUCAGUACGAAACUCUGAACAACAACAACACACAGCGUGGAGGAGACGACUGCGAGCGAGACAUUUACCAACUUAUCGAUCCAGCACGUGGAAACAUUUUGGCUUUUGCAAACACGGAGGUGUUCUAAAUAAGUCGCUCGCUGUUUGUAGAAUAUGUAGAAGACAAAUAAAAACCACGGAAACACGAUGAAUCUUUCCGGCCGUCUACUAAGGCGCCGUGGGAUUAAACAACGCCGACAGUCAGGACCUCCAGCAGCGUCACCGCUGCAGCAGCAGCAGCAGGUAACUCAGCUCUGCAGACGCCUCAGGCCUCCAGCACCAAACUCAUCACAGUAACAAGUUUAUCUGUAAAGACAUGUGACCCUACAAUGUGGUUGAACAUCCGGGGUUCUGUGAAUUGAUCCAAACAUUGUGUAAUUAUUGUGUAAUGUUUACAUUGAAAAUGGCACUUGAUUCAAAUAAAAGGUUAAUACGUUUGCCAUUAAUUGUUGUUUGCUUGUUUAUAAUAUCCAUAAUUAAUUUAAACCUGAUUUCCUUACAAGAAAAAACAGGGAUCUCAGAAACUUUGCCUGCACUGUCCAGUAAAGUUACUGAAUCCAUUUCAAGUCACUGAAUCGAAUCAAAUCGAAUCGUUGUAAAUUAACCCAGAUCGUCCAUGAAGCGAAUCGGCAACCAUGAAGCGUGAUUCGAAUCGAAUCGUUAAAAAAACGACUCUCUCUGUCAUCAAUGUGACCGAGUGUGUUUUGGUAUCUGAGCGGCAUUUAUUUGAGUUCUUGUGAGAUAAAUCAGUAAUGUUUGAUCUCAAAGAAAAAGAGCUGUAGAUUGUUAACAUGGCUCUCAAAGUCUGACCCUCCUUUAUGGCUCAAUUAGCGAGGGAGAUAAACAGAAGGAGAUAAAAAGAGUUUUUAUUUGGGGGGUCAACUGGCCAGCCAGCGUUUCUGAGAUGGGGUGAAACUAGGAAAAAAGUCGAUGUCUUGAUCUUCGCAAUAAAACAUCUUUGAUGUGACGCAACGAGGCUUGGCCAAUCAGUGGUGAUGUUACAAGAUGUGCCGCCGCUUCGAAGCGUGUGUCGAGUAAUGCAGGGGGCGUGUCCUCAAAGCGCGUAUCAAGGCUUGCUUCAUUUAGGGGAGGAGCCAAAAAUGAUGAUAAAAUAGACUACAAAGGCUAAUAGGCUACAACAACAGCUUCAUGCACUGGUUUGAUUAUUUGCCGUUUCAUGCCAAGGAAAAGUGUGGUGGUUGUAGCUGGUUGUCAUCUACGGUCCACUACUGUUACACAGAGGUGUCCUUUGUGUUUUGAUAAUGUUUCAUCUCAUAAUUUUGACUUUAUAUCCCCUUUCUGUAGUGCGGAAAUGGGCUUCUAUAGUUCUGUGGGGCCACCUACUGGUAACAGGAAGUCAAAUUUUCUAGUAUCCAGGAAAAACAAAGGUGGCAUUUUGAGAGGCUUUAAUUUCUAAAACGGUACAUCAGAAUCUCCUGGUUAUCACUCAGUCACACCUUGGGGAUGUCUACUCUCUGCUUUAAGUGGAAAUACUGUGUGACUAUUGAUUUUAUUCCUUUCUAAACAUAAUCUGAAAUUGACCAGAUUUUGAAGGAAGUUGGCUCAUGUAUGACAUUUUGAGGGGCUUUGAAAUGGUACACCAGAAUGUCCUGAUUAUCCCUGAGUGACUCCUUGGGGAUGUGUACUAUAAGAGCGAGGACCUGUGCAUCGCUGCUUGCUGCUUUAAUUGAUAUUUGUGCUUUUGAAACAUGGAAUAUAACCAGUAAUAUUUGUAGAUAUCUGCGCAAAAUAUCUGCUUUUCCUGCAUGUCCUCUCCGCUUGUCUGCUUGUCUCAGCUGGGCUCGGGCACGGUCCAAAUGCAGCGGGUCUAAGAAGCAGUUUAGCCAAUCACUGAUAAGUUAAUGAUGGACAUUAUAAUUUCAGCGUCCUAAAAUACAUGAGAUUUCGGCCCUUCGCCGCCCUACGCUGCGCUCUCGUCAGAGCGUUUAACAACAACAAGAGCCACCAACCACCGGCAGUCCUUCCAAAAACACCUGACCCUAACUCGGUACGAGAGAAGAACUUUGCAGGAGAAACUAGAGGUACAACAGCUGGACGAAGAUCAGCAUAUGUAUAUUCAUUAUUAUAAUACGGGUAGAUUAAAUCCAGCAAUAAUGUACAUUACCUGUUCACAUUGAUCUGUGCACUUAAAGUAACAGGUAAAGGCUGGCGCAUGCGUCUGCACGCACUGUUACGUCGACGCACUCGUUUCAAUUCAUAAGGCGUGCGUGUGUUGCAGAGCUAUUCACUGCCAGAACAAUAGGUGGAUAAAAGAAAGUAAGACGACCUAGAGAGUCACGUCUUUGUGUGUGGAAGUCGUUGGUUGGUUUAUUUAUUUAUCAUAGACUUUAUUGUCCCUGUGCAUUGCUACUGCUGCUUUUCAUCAAGGACACAUUUGUCCCGUAUUUUCCUCCACAACGUUGUUCCUCUCGACCGGCAAACCGACGUUUGUGGAGAUCUCCCUCCAUGAAUCAGAGGCCAUCCUUAUAGUCCGCCAAUGACGGCUUGUAUAAGUGGUCAUAUUUACGCAUUUCUUCCCAAAAAAGUUCUUCAAUCUGAUCCGUUCUCUCGUAAACAUUCUUCCUUUUAAUAAUGGAGGUAUUGGGCUAUGAAAACGGAAAUGUGAGACUCCGUAAAGGAUGUAGUCAGCAGACCAAUUACAGCUUGUGCGCUGCGGGAGGCUGCGUCGCUUUCGACACUAGUCUAGAAAAAUGGGUCGACACACGCAAGGAAGUGUGAAAAGACACGCAAGGGACACGCAAGGGGGUCUUGCGUCUGUGUGUCCUCGCGUUUCUCUGAAAACGCCGAAGCAUAGACUAGGCUGUAGGGAUUUAAGCACUACAGCACACCUAGUGGUCGAAAUGAUAAUACAUGUAGUAAUGUUUAGUGUUAGAAUUGUAGUUUGUGUGAUGUUAGAUAGUAGUUAUUACAUAAGCAUGUUAGAUAAAAUAAUUGAAAACUAAAUCUAACAUAAUUUAUAGUCAUUUAAGUCAUAUAUGAUCAAAGGAUGUACGACAGCCCUGCGAGACAAACAUUCUGGUUGUAGACCAUAUAGAACUGAGUUAAACACAAUGAUUAAGAUGUUAUGAAAUGGGAUGUUAUUAUGCAUGCUAUGUUAUGUUCACAUUAUGAAUCUUUAAGUCAAAGGUGUGAUCAUUGCACCUGAAAUUGUAUUUAUAAUGGCACUUAUUGCUAGCAAAUUGUAAAUUGACUUAUUUGAUGAAAUUGAAGUUUCUUGCUCAAGGCAGUUGACUUUUUAUGACCUGCGUGGCGGCGUUCAGCGUGACGGCGCACGGGGCCUGGCUGGGCCGUGGGGGCGCCGGCGACUGGUGCAUCCUUUGCUGGGCGUUCGGCUUCACCU
ensembl:lncRNA